CUCUUUUGUAACGGCGCAAACCCAGGAACCCUCUCAACUCCCUAUUGAAAUUUCUCUCAUGACCUAAGAAUGAAUAACCUUUUCAUCUCCCUCUUAAUGAAAGAAUUCUAGGGUUAAAAACGCUCAUUUAGGCUUGGCUUCUCCAUCUCAUCCUAUUCGAUUACACCACGAGUUUGGUACGGUUUGUUCCCUGCGUAACCCGUAAAAGAAGAUAAAAUUGUUAAGGUUUCUCUGAAGAUCAGGGGCAGUCAGUGAAAUUUGUGGAUUUGACAACAAUGAACUUUGAUGAAAAGAAAAUGCAAACACAGAUUACUGGCUCCUCAAAGAAGAAAAGAAUAACACGAUCUAACCAUUAUCUCCAGGGAAAUUCCCGAUAGAGUACUAAAAUGUGAGCGGAAAGCUUCAUAAAGUACUUAAGGUUAAAAAUGGGAAACUCUUAUUUCCAGUCAUGGUCAGCUGUACGUGGCAUUUUGUAAAUGUGUGGCGGAAGGAAGAUGAACACCAAUAUUCAGUCAUGGCCACAUAAAAUGAUCACAAUUCCCAUAGUUCACUAAUUUCAUAAGCGCUAACACGGUUAUCAUGGUAGAAGAGGCAGAUGCAUUUGAUGCGGUCAUCCUUAAAAACUCCAAUUUGGCAGUUUGAUAAGAAGACAAUUUGUACUAGAUGAAUUGCACCUGACUACAGCAAAAGUCCAAGGCAUCCAUGUAACCUUCAAACUGUGUAUUGAGAUAUUUUGUCCCAUCCGCAGUCCUCCAACACAUUAUGCAAAGAGGGUUCUUGAAAAACCUACCUAUUCCUCCAGCGUUGCCACCCAAGUUUACGCUAACAUCGACAUCCUUACUGUCAAAGCACUGUGAGAUACCCUAAGUUUGAUCCAUGUAUGGGUUUUAGAUAGCACUGUUGUUGAGACCUUGCUCAUGAAGCAAUGAGGAUAUUUAUUUGAAUUAGCAUGUAUGGUAAAUGUAUUAUUUGUAUUUAUGGAUCUCUAUCCAACUAUUCGUGUUUUUCUGUUGAAUUAGCUAAGCCAAGCGUUCUGUCGGUGCGGUGCUUCUUCUACGUAACUUAUUAUUCACUAAGAUCCGUGCAUAUAUCUUAGGAUGAUACUGUUUGCAUGUUUAACCCACAUAAUUAUAUUGUACUGACUUGAUUCA